AAGCACCGAGCUGUAAAUCGCUUGAGACCUGUAUUUGGUUGUUUUGUUGGUUUUGCCAAGUAAGGUCACUUGAGGAUUUCUUGGCUCGAGGUCCCAGGUUGCGCAGACUCUGACUGCAUCGAGUUGAGAAUUUUGGUCAGAAUGUUAAAGUGGAAACCUACCCCAGGCUGUCAUGGUCAGUGUUUUAGAGAACUUCUUGGGUUGGGGUGUGGAGCUGGGCGGUCCAGGAUGUUCUGUCAUCAGAGACUGGCGGGUUCUGGGGAACUUGGUGCCAUGGAACACAGUAGGGACGUUCUGCUUCUCAUCAAGAACAUGAAGACAUUAAGAGGUGGAAUUGUAAUGGGGAAAAAGGUGAGAGGAGGCAGUAGGAGUUAUUUUGUUUUUAAUUUCUAAUGUCUAGUUUAUUUCCACAAAACAUCUGUAUCAUACCAGUUCUUUGAAAUUUGUUCAGACUUGUUUUAUGACCUAGAUCAGCACUGUCCAGUAGGAUUUCCUGUAGUAUUCUAUAUCUGCACUGUCCAAUAUGGUAGCCACCAGCCACAUGUGGCUAUUGAGCAUCUGAAAUGUGGCCAGUACAACCAAGGAACUGCAUUUUUAACUUCAUUUAGUUUUAAUUAAUUUACAUUUUAAGUAGUGACAUGUGGCUAUUGGCUACUACUGUAUUGGACAACAUUACUCUAGACUCUCCUCCUGGAAUUCCUAUUAGGCAUAGGUUAAACCUUCUGAGGUUCUAAAUUAUUAUUUUUAAAAUAUUGCAUCAUUUUGUUUCUCUGAGCCACAUUCUGGCUAAUUUCUUCAGAUCUAUCUUUCAGCUUGCUAUUUAUUUCUUUGGCUUGUAGAAUUUUUUCUAGUUCGCCUGUUCUGAGGGUAAAGCUCUUCAGGUGAUUUGACUAUAUCCAGAGAACUCCAUUCUGCACCUUUCCUGAAGUGUAGACUUUGUUGACAGUGCCUUCAUGGCAAUUAACACUAAGGUUUAAAGACAGGCCAUGGACUAGGAGAAAAUAUUUGCAAAGCAUGUAUCCAACAAAGGACUCAUAUCCAGAAUAUAUAAAGAACCAUAUAAACUCAGAGUAAGUAAACAGUCCAGUUAGAAAAUGGAUCAAAGACUUGAAUAGUCAUUUCACCAAAGAAGAUAUACAGAUGGCAAAUAAACAUGUAAAACAGUGUUCAGUGUCAUUGGCCAUUAGGGAAAUGUAUAUUAAAACCACAAUGAGAUUCUACUACACACCUAUUUAAAUGGCUAAAAUAACAAGUACUGACAGCACUAAAUGCUAGUGAGGAUGCAGAGCAACCGGAUCUCUCAAACAUUGCUGGUAGGACUAUAAAAUGGCAUAACCACUCUAGAAAACAGUUUGACAGUUUCUUAUAAAGUUGCACAUAUGCUUAUCAUAUCACCCAGCAAUCACACUCCUGGGUAUUUAUCCUAGACAAACCAAAACUUAUGUUCAAACAAAACUCUGUACAUGAAUGUCAUGGUGGCUUUAUUUUUAAUAGUCAAAAACUGAAAACAGGCCAGGCAUGGUGGCUCACACCUGUAAUCCCAGCACUUUGGGAGGCCAAGGCGGGCGGAUCAUGAGGUCAGGAGUUUGAGAUCAGCCUGGGCAACAUGGCGAAACCCCGUCUCUACUAAAAAUACAAAAAAUUAGCCAGGCGUGGUGGCAUGUACCUGUAGUCCCACCUACUCAGGAGGCUUAGGCAGGAGAAUCACUUGAACCCGGGAGGCAGAGGUUGCAGUGAGCCAAGAUUGCACCACUGCACUCCAGCCUGGGCGACAGAGUGAGACUCCAUCUCAAAAACAAAAAAACAAAAAAACUGUAAACAAGCCAAACAGUCCUUAGUGAAUGAAUAGAAAGCAAACUGGAGUAUAUCCAUGCCAUGGGACACUACUCAGCCAUAAAAAGUAAUGAGCUAUUGAUACGUACAACUUGAAUGAAUCUCAAGGGCAUUGUGGUGAGUUUUUAAAAGCCAGUCUUAAAGUGUUGUAUACUGUAUGAUUCCAUCUAGAUACCAUUCUCAUAGCCAAAGAAAAAUUAUAGCAUUGAAGAACAAAUCCAUGAUUGCCAAAUGUUAUGGUUGGGACAAGGGUCUGACUGUUAAGAGGUAACACGACAGAGUUUCUUUGUGUUGACAGUUACUCAUAUCUAUACAUGUGAUAAAAUUCAUAGAGCUAUACACCAAAAAUGCAAAGUGGUACAUUCAAAACUAGUAAAACACAAAUAAGAUCUAUACCUGUAUUAACAGUAUUUUACCAGUAUCAGUUUCCUGCUUUUACCAAAGUGCUGUGA
rnacentral:lncRNA from 10 species